AACGAACGAGGGGGGAAGGACGAACACAUGCAAGUCGAACGAAGCCUUCGGGCUUAGUGGCGCACGGGUGCGUAACGCGUGGGAAUCUGCCCUUGGGUUCGGAAUAACAGUUAGAAAUGACUGCUAAUACCGGAUGAUGUCUUCGGACAAAAGAUUUAUCGCCCAAGGAUGAGCACGCGUCGGAUUAGCUAGUUGGUGAGGUAAAGGCUCACCAAGGCGACGAUCCGUAGCUGGUCUGAGAGGAUGAUCAGCCACACUGGGACUGAGACACGGCCCAGACUCCUACGGGAGGCAGCAGUGGGGAAUAUUGGACAAUGGGCGAAAGCCUGAUCCAGCAAUGCCGCGUGAGUGAUGAAGGCCUUAGGGUUGUAAAGCUCUUUUACCCGGGAUGAUAAUGACAGUACCGGGAGAAUAAGCCCCGGCUAACUCCGUG
rnacentral:rRNA from 1 species